rnacentral:rRNA from 1 species
CCUACGGGAGGCAGCAGUAGGGAAUCUUCCGCAAUGGACGAAAGUCUGACGGAGCAACGCCGCGUGAGCGAUGAAGGCCUUCGGUGUCGUAAAGCUCUGUUGUUAGGGAAGAACUAAGUGCUAGUUGAAUAAGCUGGCACCUUGACGGUACCUAACCAGAAAGCCACGGCUAACUACGUGCCAGCAGCCGCGGUAAUACGUAGGUGGCAAGCGUUGUCCGGAAUUAUUGGGCGUAAAGCGCGCGCAGGCGGUUUCUUAAGUCUGAUGUGAAAGCCCCCGGCUCAACCGGGGAGGGUCAUUGGAAACUGGGAAACUUGAGUGCAGAAGAGGAAAGUGGAAUUCCAAGUGUAGCGGUGAAAUGCGUAGAGAUUUGGAGGAACACCAGUGGCGAAGGCGACUUUCUGGUCUGUAACUGACGCUGAGGCGCGAAAGCGUGGGGAGCAAACAGGAUUAGAUACCCUGGUAGUCCACGCUGUAAACGAUGAGUGCUAAGUGUUAGAGGGUUUCCGCCCUUUAGUGCUGAAGUUACGCAUUAAGCACUCGCGCUGGGGAGUACGGUCGCAAGACUGAACUCAAAGGAAUUGACGGGGGCCCCACACAAUGUGAAAAUGUUGGAGCAUGUGGUUUAAUUCGAAGCAACGCGAAGAACCUUAC